rnacentral:rRNA from 1 species
CCUACGGGUGGCAGCAGUAGGGAAUAUUGCUCAAUGGGGGAAACCCUGAAGCAGCAACGCCGCGUGGAGGAUGAAGGUUUUCGGAUUGUAAACUCCUUUUGUUAGAGAAGAUAAUGACGGUAUCUAACGAAUAAGCACCGGCUAACUCCGUGCCAGCAGCCCCGGUAAUACGGAGGGGGCAAGGGUUAACCGGAUUUACGGGGCGUAAAGGGGGCGUAGGGGGGAUAGCAAGUCAGAUGUGAAAGCCCAGGGCUUAACCAUGGAACUGCAUUUGAAACUGGUAUUCUAGAGUAUGGGAGAGGUAGGUGGAAUUCUUGGUGUAGGGGUAAAAUGCGUAGAGAUCAAGAGGAACACUCAUUGCGAAGGCGACCUGCUAGAACAUAACUGACGCUGAUGCGCGAAAGCGUGGGGAGCAAACAGGAUUAGAUACCCCGGUAGUC